rnacentral:rRNA from 1 species
CGCCUGGGGAGUACGGGUGAGGUAACGGCUCACCAAGGCAUCGACGGGUAGCUGGUCUGAGAGGAUGAUCAGCCACACUGGGACUGAGACACGGCCCAGACUCCUACGGGAGGCAGCAGUAGGGAAUAUUGCACAAUGGGCGAAAGCCUGAUGCAGCAACGCCGCGUGCGGGAAGAAGGCCCUAGGGUUGUAAACCGCUUUCAGCAGGGAAGAAAAUGACGGUACCUGUAGAAGAAGGUGCGGCCAACUACGUGCCAGCAGCCGCGGUGACACGUAGGCACCAAGCGUUGUCCGGAUUUAUUGGGCGUAAAGAGCUCGUAGGCGGUUCAGUAAGUCGGGUGUGAAAACUCUGGGCUCAACCCAGAGACGCCACCCGAUACUGCUGUGACUAGAGUGCGGUAGGGGAGCGGGGAAUUCCUAGUGUAGCGGUGAAAUGCGCAGAUAUUAGGAGGAACACCAGUGGCGAAGGCGCCGCUCUGGGCCGUAACUGACGCUGAGGAGCGAAAGCGUGGGUAGCAAACAGGAUUAGAUACCCUGGUAGUCCACGCCGUAAACGGUGGGCGCUAGGUGUGGGGAACAUUCCACGUUCUCCGUGCCGCAGCUAACGCAUUAAGCGCCCCGCCUGGGGAGUACGG